rnacentral:rRNA from 1 species
UGGGGAAUAUUGCACAAUGGGGGAAACCCUGAUGCAGCGACGCCGCGUGGGUGAAGAAGUAUUUCGGUAUGUAAAGCCCUAUCAGCAGGGAAGAAAAAAGACGGUACCUGAGUAAGAAGCCCCGGCUAACUACGUGCCAGCAGCCGCGGUAAUACGUAGGGGGCAAGCGUUAUCCGGAUUUACUGGGUGUAAAGGGAGCGUAGACGGCAGGGCAAGUCUGGAGUGAAAGGCAGGGGCCCAACCCCUGGACUGCUUUGGAAACUGCCCGGCUUGAGUGCAGGAGAGGUAAGUGGAAUUCCUAGUGUAGCGGUGAAAUGCGUAGAUAUUAGGAGGAACACCAGUGGCGAAGGCGGCUUACUGGACUGUAACUGACGUUGAGGCUCGAAAGCGUGGGGAGCAAACAGG